CCUACGGGUGGCAGCAGUGAGGAAUAUUGGUCAAUGGCCGAGAGGCUGAACCAGCCAAGUCGCGUGAGGGAAGACGGCCCUAAGGGUUGUAAACUUCUUUUGUCGGGGAGCAAAGCGAACCACGUGUGGUUCAUUGAGAGUACUCGAAGAAAAAGCAUCGGCUAACUCCGUGCCAGCAGCCGCGGUAAUACGGAGGAUGCGAGCGUUAUCCGGAUUUAUUGGGUUUAAAGGGUGCGCAGGCGGAGGUGCAAGUCAGCGGUAAAAGUGCGGGGCUCAACCCCGUACUGCCGUUGAAACUGCAUCCCUUGAGAGCGCGAGAGGUAUGCGGAAUGCGUAGUGUAGCGGUGAAAUGCAUAGAUAUCGCGCAGAACUCCGAUUGCGAAGGCAGCAUACCGGCGCCCAACUGACGCUCAUGCACGAAAGCGUGGGUAUCGAACAGGAUUAGAUACCCGGGUAGUC
rnacentral:rRNA from 1 species